rnacentral:rRNA from 1 species
GACGAACGCUGGCGGCGUGCUUAACACAUGCAAGUCGAACGGAAAGGCCCUGCUUUUGUGGGGUGCUCGAGUGGCGAACGGGUGAGUAACACGUGAGUAACCUGCCCUUGACUUUGGGAUAACUUCAGGAAACUGGGGCUAAUACCGGAUAGGAGCUCCUGCUGCAUGGUGGGGGUUGGAAAGUUUCGGCGGUUGGGGAUGGACUCGCGGCUUAUCAGCUUGUUGGUGGGGUAGUGGCUUACCAAGGCUUUGACGGGUAGCCGGCCUGAGAGGGUGACCGGCCACAUUGGGACUGAGAUACGGCCCAGACUCCUACGGGAGGGAGAAGUGGGGAAUAUUGCACAAUGGGCGGAAGCCUGAUGCAGAAACGCCGCGUGCGGGAUGACGGCCUUCGGGUUGUAAACCGCUUUCGCCUGUGACGAAGCGUGAGUGACGGUAAUGGGUAAAGAAGCACCGGCUAACUACGU